rnacentral:tRNA from 2 species
GCGGGUAUAGUUUAGUGGUAGAACACGUCCUUGCCAUGGAUGAAAUCGGGGUUCGAUUCCCCGUACCCGCUCCA